ensembl:lncRNA
GCCUCUCUAAUGAACAGCUCUCCCUCCCUCUCCCACAUGCCUGGCGCUCUGCCUAUUUGCAGCUGAAGGGAAGAAUUAGGCAGCUGCUCCUUCUUCCAGACUCCCAGAUCCUCAUCUUAUCUUCUGUGGCAGCAAACACUCCAGCCUCUGUGAACAAAACCUAUCCUUUACAGUCGUGGAUUGUACUGAUUCAUUCGCUGAUUACACUGGAGCGUGAAUGCAUUUCCAUAUCUGUGUUACUCUGGCCAAUUAUAUGCAUUUGAAGACUUUAUUGCAAAGAGAUUUGCUUUGUUUAAAGGAUUAAGACUCAGGUUCUACCAUUACUAUAGUUUGUUGCCUACCUUCAUAAGUGAAAGAAAUACUGCUGCUGCUGCUAAGUCGCUUCAGUCAAGUCCGACUCUGUGCAACCCCAUAGACGGCAGCCCACCAGGCUCCGCCGUCCCUGGGAUUCUCCAGGCAAGAACACUGGAGUGGGUUGCCAUUUCCUUCUCCAAUGCAUGAAAGUAAAAAGUGAAAGUGAAGUCGCUCAGUUGUGUCCAACUCUUAGCGACCCGAC